AAUGGGGGGAACCCUGAUCCAGCCAUGCCGCGUGUGUGAAGAAGGUCUUAGGAUUGUAAAGCACUUUAAGUUGGGAGGAAGAGCAGUUAACUAAUAUUUGACUGUUUUGACGUUACCGACAGAAUAAGCACCGGCUAACUUCGUGCCAGCAGCCGCGGUAAUACGAAGGGUGCAAGCGUUAAUCGGAAUUACUGGGCGUAAAGCGCGCGUAGGUGGUUCAGUAAGUUAGGAGUGAAAGCCCCGGGCUUAACCUGGGAAUUGCUUCUAAAACUGCUGAGCUAGAGUACGGUAGAGGGUGGUGGAAUUUCCUGUGUAGCGGUGAAAUGCGUAGAUAUAGGAAGGAACAUCAGUGGCGAAGGCGACCACCUGGACUGAUACUGACACUGAGGUGCGAAAGCGUGGGGAGCAAA
rnacentral:rRNA from 1 species